GUUGCGCACACCCACAUAUACAUGCACUCGCGCACACCAUACGCUCGUGCAUACCUUUUCAUUUCUGUGCCCUUUCUUCCUCCCUCCCUCUUACCCACGGGUGCACACCACCCCUCCCUCCCUCCCACCUUUGGCGCUUGUAUGCCUGAAUCUGACAGGCGAUAAGAGGGCCAUAAGCAAAACAACACACCAACGACAGCAACUGCUGAACGAACAGCACCGAACAACAGGGAGGACCGCAAAACGAUAUCAGGCGUGUGCACGUGUGUGUGUGUGUGCUCGCUCCCCCCUCCCCCUCCGUAGGCGCACACGUUCUGCUUUGUGUGUGCGGGUGAAUGCGAAGGGGACGAGCGAGGGUGCGGAGAGGUGAGUAGGCGCAGGGACGAGAAAACACAAAAACGAAAGGAGGUCGCUCUUUGCUGCUGUAUGUUGUCUGUUGUGUGUUGUGUGCUUCGUCUUGUAUUAUCCCUUGGUGUUCGAGGCUCACCCGCCCUUCUCGCUUUCCUCCCAAUCUUCCCCCAUCCGUGCUGCUGCUCUGCCUUGGUCUUUAUUUCUGCCUUUCACUGUCCCGCUUCUUCUUUUACCUCGCUGCCGGUCUCCGUCGGCGAUUACGGCACUCACGCCGUCUUUCUUCUCGUUGCUGUGGUUGACCGCCCUCCUCCUCCUUCUCCUUUCUCUUGGUGUGUGCGUGUGUGCCCAAUUGGGAG
rnacentral:misc_RNA from 1 species